GAGUGAUUCAUGACUGGGGUGAAGUCGUAACAAGGUAACCGUAGGGGAACCUGCGGUUGGAUCACCUCCUUACCUUAAA
rnacentral:rRNA from 1 species